rnacentral:lncRNA from 1 species
AAGAACAUAUUAUUUAAGAAUAAUCUAGUAUAUAGUAAGCUAAGAUGACUAUAUUUUAUGUACAUGGUUGAAGGGAAUAUUUUGAAAAAAGCAAUUUUAUGAAAAUGAAUGAUAAUAUAUCUGAUGUGAUGGUAGAUAAAUUCAAAAUACUUAUUUUGUAUGCACUUAGAAAUAUAAAAGUAGCAGAUAUAAGAAAAAUCAUAUUAGAAAAAGCUUUUGGUGAAUAUUACAUGACUAGAGUAAAUUAUAUACCAUAUCUACCUAACUACUCUUACAAAUAUUUACGAUGAUAAGUUACAUAAAAUUUUUAGAAAAAGAUAUAAAAAAAUAUGCAGUUACUAGAAAAACAGAUAAAAAUAAAUAUAGACAAAUACAUGGAAACUAAAGAUAUAAAAU